UAAGCAGAACUGGCGAUGCGG
rnacentral:snRNA from 1 species